CAAGACAACUUUACGGAGUUGACGAUUGACGGAGCGAAGCGACGUCAAAGCGUUCAUUAAAGUCGAGUUGGCUUAGGGAUACGUUCGUUGGGUAGGGGAGCGUUCUGUAAGCCUGUGAAGGUGGCCUGUGAGGGUUGCUGGAGGUAUCAGAAGUGCGAAUGCUGACAUAAGUAACGAUAAUGCGGGUGAAAAACCCGCACGCCGGAAGACCAAGGGUUCCUGUCCAACGUUAAUCGGGGCAGGGUGAGUCGACCCCUAAGGCGAGGCCGAAAGGCGUAGUCGAUGGGAAACAGGUUAAUAUUCCUGUACUUGGUGUUACUGCGAAGGGGGGACGGAGAAGGCUAUGUUAGCCGGGCGACGGUUGUCCCGGUUUAAGCAUGUAGGCGGAGGUUCCAGGUAAAUCCGGUACCUUAUUAACGCUGAGGUGUGAUGACGAGGCACUACGGUGCUGAAGUAACAAAUGCCCUGCUUCCAGGAAAAGCCUCUAAGCAUCAGGUAACAUCAAAUCGUACCCCAAACCGACACAGGUGGUCAGGUAGAGAAUACCAAGGCGCUUGAGAGAACUCGGGUGAAGGAACUAGGCAAAAUGGUGCCGUAACUUCGGGAGAAGGCACGCU
rnacentral:rRNA from 1 species